AAGUCGUAACAAGGUUUCCGUAGGUGAACCUGCGGAAGGAUCAUUACUGAAGACCAUAGGGUUUUGAGACUGCGUCAAUAUUGGCGUGUUGCUCGACCCUUACUCUUUAUCCACACACACCUUUGUGCACCAUGGGACGAUAAAAAGUCCCCUUUUAUAUAUAAACACCAAGUUAUAUGCAUGUUUUUUAUACGCUCUACGGAGUAAUAUACAACUUUCAACAACGGAUCUCUUGGCUUUC
rnacentral:misc_RNA from 1 species